GGCGGUGGUGGUGAUGUUGGUGGUGGUAGUUGCAAGAAAAAAUCUUCUAAUUAUUGUUGUUCUUAUUAUUUCCGCAAAUCAAAUUGGAUAUAAACAAAGAUAAUGCAUCAACAACAAAUGCACCAGCAGCAUUUUAGUAAACAUGCUUACACCAUCGAUCGGUCUUUUUUAUAUACAUACAUAUAAAUAUAUCCAACAAAUUGCACUGAUAAUUCUUAUAUAUUAUAAUACAAAUUUUCACUAAAGCAAAAGGCGCAUCCACCUUAGCCCAAUGUAAAGGAGUACAAUGAAAAAGUGAGCCAACUAAAUUUUUCAGGAGGUAUCCAAGUUUAGCCCAAAAUGUAAUAAGAAUAUGGUAAAGUUUUGGACGAUGUGUACGUGCAUAGUAAAAUAUCUUACAGAGUUUAAUAAAGGAUAUAUGAAAACUUUGAUUACGAUUAUGGGCGAAGGCGAUUUUUCAA